CCGGUCUGUAGCUGUUCUUAAAAGAUUGAAAAAUAAGUGUGAUAGGUCUAUUAUUUCACGUUGUCCAUCCAGCUUUUCUUUCGUAGACCUUUCUUCGUGCUACAGCAAACUGUGCAUUGAAAGAAGAAUUUUGUCAACAACAUGAAGCUACUUUACAUCCUAUUAAGUUGUGUACUUCUGCUUGGAGUCAGUCAGACAAGUGCAGCUCCACCAGCACCACAACGUCGUGACAUAAGGGCUCCUAAGAGAGUUCCCUAUCCAUACAAAAGAUUUGUGCUUUUACCCGACGGAAGAUCUCUGCGUGAAUUGGAAGGUUACGACUGGGAUGAGGAUUAACAACAAAACUGUGCAUGGUCUUCGUGGAAACAUCUGAUUGGAUAGUGUGUCAAGAUCUACACAUCACCUCCAGAAUGAUUGUGAUACAAAAAAAAAAAAUAUAAAGACCUAAAUAAAGCCGUUUUGUUUUCAAUAAAUAAAUAAAACAUUAUGUGUG